rnacentral:rRNA from 1 species
GGAUACCCGAGGGAAACUUCGGUUAAUACGGUAUAAGACCACACUACCGCAUGGUAGAGGGGUAAAAGGAGAAAUCCGGUAUGAGAUGGGCUCGCGUCGCAUUAGCUAGUUGGUGAGGUAACGGCCCACCAAGGCGACGAUGCGUAGCCGACCUGAGAGGGUGAUCGGCCACAUUGGGACUGAGAUACGGCCCAGACUCCUACGGGAGGCAGCAGUGGGGAAUAUUGGGCAAUGGAGGAAACUCUGACCCAGCAAUGCCGCGUGAAUGAAGAAGGUCUUCGGAUUGUAAAGUUCUUUAGUCAGGGAAGAAUAAAAUGACGGUACCUGAAGAAUAAGCCCCGACUAACUACGUGCCAGCAGCCGCGGUAAUACGUAGGGAGCAAGCGUUGUUCGGAAUGACUGGGCGUAAAGGGUGCGUAGGCGGUUAUACAAGUUAGAAGUGAAAUACCCAGGGCUUAACUCGGGUGCUGCUUCUAAAACUGUAAGACUUGAGUGCAGUAGAGGUUAGUGGAAUUCCUAGUGUAGCGGUGGAAUGCGUAGAUAUUAGGAGGAAUACCAGAGGCGAAGGCGGCUAACUGGACUGCAACUGACGCUGAGGCACGAAAGUGUGGGGAGCAAACAGGAUUAGAUACCCUGGUAGUCCACACUGUAAACGAUGGAUACUAGAUGUAGGAGGUAUCGACUCCUUCUGC